CGCGUAGGCGGCCUGCCAAGUCAGAUGUGAAAGCCCCCGGCUCAACCGGGGACGUGCAUCUGAAACUGGUAGGCUUGAGUACUGGAGGGGAGUGUGGAAUUCCUGGUGUAGAGGUGAAAUUCGUAGAGAUCAGGAGGAAUACCGGUGGCGAAGGCGACACUCUGGCCAGAUAUUGACGCUGAGGCGCGAAAGCGUGGGGAGCAAACA
rnacentral:rRNA from 1 species